UCAAUUCACGGUGGAUUUUAUUUGGUCAUCAUCAUCACAUUUGGAGCUGAAAUAAAACAGUUCUGAUUCCAAGUGAAGGGGAGGGAGGUAGAGUGGAGGGGGUAGGGAGGGCUAGCUUGGAUUUCUGCUAAGAUGUCACAGCCUCGGAUACCCUCAAGGCAUGCCAUGCCCGGGCUUAGCCGGGUGAGGGGCCUGUGAAGCCUGAUGGUGUGUAAGAGACCUCGGUGGCCUCACUGUCAGCAUAGCCGAGGCCACCACGCUGGCUCCAGACUGGUCAGCAGAUGGCCGCGCACCAGGCCCUUCCUGAGGCCCGGGCGACUCGGCUCUCAGUGGCGGAAGUGGCCGGCCCCGGACAGACUCCUGAAGAGCGCUGCCUGCAGUCUCAGGAAACGGGGCGUGGGGCCAGCUGUUCCUUCCAACUCCUCCUCGGGGGCAGCAUGAGGGAGGGUCGCUGUCAGGGCCUCGAGGACUGAGGGUUCAGGGUGCCCGCCGCUCGUCCUCUCUCCCCUCCCCCCCAGGUCGUGGAGGCCGGUCCCCAGAAUCUCUCCAGCGUCCCCACUGUCGUGGCUCCGGGGCGGGCUUCUCCCUUUUCAGGCAUUUCUGAAAUCGCCGCCUCACCCGGGCUCUCUUCCUCCGGCUCGCCCUCCCCAGCCCCAGGUGCCAGAGAGACCUUUCCCCAAAACGCGAAACUGAUCCUUUCAGACGCCUCGCGUUCGCCCAACAGCACCUCUAGCCUCGGUCGUUGUCACGUGACGCGGCCCUAGCGCCCAGGCCACGCCCCCGGAGCUCGCCACGCCUACCGGGUCCGCCCCCACGCGCCCGCCUACCCAGGGGGUUCCCGCCACCCGCGCUUUCCCAGGUUUGCCGACCUUACGGGCCCUUUUCCGCCAGCCCUGGCUGGGUCACCCCCACGACCCGGGACUCCCCCGCCGUUCCCGCCAGGGCUGCCUUCAGUGAGGUCGGCUCCUCAGGCCUCAGCCUCGCUGGGGGCAGGGCCCACUCCCGCCGUCGCCGCAGCUCCUUUCCGUCCCGGGGCCUGGGGGGCACCGUCCCACGGGUGAGGGCCGCCUCCAGCGCCCAGCCCAGCCAUGCGAACGCCUGGAGCCCGCGAGCUGCAGCUGCGGCCUUGAAGGUGCCGCACGUCCUGCCGACUGGGUGAAGCUUGGCACUUUGGAAAACAAAGCGGGUGAUCCGCCCGCCUCAGCCUCCCAAAGUGCUGGGAUUACAGGCAUGAACCACGGUGCCCGGCCGACACAAGGAACUUUCUAUGAGGUCCUAGGAAUGAAGGAAAACGGGCAAUAAGGCAAGAAUCGCUGUCGAAGGAGUCUGCGCCACCUGCUCGCACAGCUCACUUGUGCCUUCUGAGCCUGCUCGAGCCCAGUGUACAUAUGCCGUCUCCACGUGAUUAGAGAUUGCUGCUGCACGUGCCCAAUCCCGUGGCGGGGCUGGAACACAAACAGGAUAGUGUUCCAGCUGCAACCAUGCAGAUGAAGACUAUACCCUAGGAGACAGAGGAACAACAGACAAGAAAGAAACCUGGGUUCCUGAAUAACCGCGUGGAGCCGAGCAGCUUACUUAUCUCAAACCACUGCUGCCCACCUCCAGAUUGAACUGUCUGCAAACAAAUCUUUACUUGAUGAGAAGUUUAAAUAUAAUUAAAUCUAGACUAUUACA